GCUCAGGAUGAACGCUAGCGGCAGGCUUAACACAUGCAAGUCGAGGGGUAGAGGCCUUCGGGCCUUGAGACCGGCGCACGGGUGCGUAACGCGUAUGCAAUCUGCCUUCCACAGAGGGAUAGCCCAGAGAAAUUUGGAUUAAUACCUCAUAGCAUCAUGACCCGGCAUCGGGAUAUGAUUAAAGUCACAACGGUGGAAGAUGAGCAUGCGUCCCAUUAGCUAGUUGGUAAGGUAAUGGCUUACCAAGGCUACGAUGGGUAGGGGUCCUGAGAGGGAGAUCCCCCACACUGGUACUGAGACACGGACCAGACUCCUACGGGAGGCAGCAGUGAGGAAUAUUGGUCAAUGGGCGCAAGCCUGAACCAGCCAUGCCGCGUGCAGGAUGACGGUCCUAUGGAUUGUAAACUGCUUUUGUACGGGAAGAAACCCUCCUACGUGUAGGAGCUUGACGGUACCGUAAGAAUAAGGAUCGGCUAACUCCGUGCCAGCAGCCGCGGUAAUACGGAGGAUCCAAGCGUUAUCCGGAAUCAUUGGGUUUAAAGGGUCUGUAGGCGGUCUUGUAAGUCAGUGGUGAAAGCCCAUCGCUCAACGGUGGAACGGCCAUUGAUACUGCUGGACUUGAAUUAUUGGGAAGCAACUAGAAUAUGUAGUGUAGCGGUGAAAUGCUUAGAGAUUACAUGGAAUACCAAUUGCGAAGGCAGGUUGCUACCAAUGGAUUGACGCUGAUGGACGAAAGCGUGGGUAGCGAACAGGAUUAGAUACCCUGGUAGUCCACGCCGUAAACGAUGGAUACUAGCUGUUGGGCGCAAGUUCAGUGGCUAAGCGAAAGUGAUAAGUAUCCC
rnacentral:rRNA from 1 species